CGACCAUCUGGCGGACUUUGAGCGCCGGCACUGCUAUGACCGGUUCUGGUGUGCCGCGGGUGCUGCGCCCGAUACUCGC
rnacentral:tRNA from 1 species